UACAGAGGUCUCAAGCGUUGUUCGGAUUCAUUGGGCGUAAAGGGUGCGUAGGCGGCGCGGUAAGUCGGGUGUGAAAUCUUGGAGCUUAAUUCCGAAACUGCAUUCGAUACUGCCGUGCUUGAGGACUGGAGAGGAGACUGGAAUUUACGGUGUAGCGGUGAAAUGCGUAGAUAUCGUAAGGAAGACCAGUGGCGAAGGCGGGUCUCUGGACAGUUCCUGACGCUGAGGCACGAAGGUCAGGGGAGCAAACGGG
rnacentral:rRNA from 1 species